AUUGAACGCUGGCGGCAUGCUUUACACAUGCAAGUCGAACGGUAACAGGCCUUCGGGCGCUGACGAGUGGCGAACGGGUGAGUAAUGCAUCGGAACGUGCCCAGUCGUGGGGGAUAACUGCUCGAAAGAGCAGCUAAUACCGCAUACGAUCUGCGGAUGAAACCGGGGGACCUUCGGGCCUCGCGCGAUUGGAGCGGCCGAUGUCAGAUUAGGUAGUUGGUGGGGUAAAGGCUCACCAAGCCAACGAUCUGUAGCUGGUCUGGGAGGACGACCAGCCACACUGGGACUGAGACACGGCCCAGACUCCUACGGGAGGCAGCAGUGGGGAAUUUUGGACAAUGGGCGCAAGCCUGAUCCAGCAAUGCCGCGUGCAGGAAGAAGGCCUUCGGGUUGUAAACUGCUUUUGUACGGAACGAAACGGUCUGGGUUAAUACCCUGGGCUAGUGACGGUACCGUAAGAAUAAGCACCGGCUAACUACGUGCCAGCAGCCGCUGUAA
rnacentral:rRNA from 1 species